rnacentral:tmRNA from 1 species
GGGGCCGUUCCGGAUUCGACUGGACGCGCUGAGUGCCGAACGCAUGCCGAGGAUGAUCGUUUGCCUCGUAAAUCACCGGUCAAAAACUAUAACUGCGAACGAAGAGUACGCACUCGCCGCUUGACGGCGACGUCCGCUUCCUGACGAACACUAAGGAAGACGGGCGCAAGCAGUGUUCUGGCACCCGGAUUUGAUUCAUUGGUCCGCGUGCGAGACAAUCAAUGGAGUAGUCGGAAGGCUGUCUGUCUGUCGACAAAGCCGGAGGACGAAAAACAAUAAAGACAGAACAAGCAUGUAGUAUGUCGUCAUGAGGACGUUACAGGACGCGGGUUCAACUCCCGCCGGCUCCACCA